AAAUCUACAUACUUCUUACAACAAGACAACUGAGUGGCGCACUGGACCAGCUGUGGUAAAUGCUUACUACUAUCCUGGCAGCAACGACGUUACGUUCCCAGCUGGGGUUCUUCAACCACCAUUCUACAAGUACGGGUUACCGCUGUCAGUGAACAUGGGAGGAAUAGGAAUGAUUAUGGGUCACGAAGUUACCCAUGCUUUUGAUGACAAGGG